rnacentral:rRNA from 1 species
UACAGAGGGGGCAGGCGUUAUUCGGAAUUAUUGGGCGUAAAGGGCGCGUAGGCGGCUUGGCAAGUGGAAGGUGAAAUCCCUCGGCUUAACCGAGGAACUGCCCUCCAAACUGCUUCGCUUGAGACCGGGAGAGGUGAGUGGAAUUCCCAGUGUAGCGGUGAAAUGCGUAGAUAUUGGGAGGAACACCAGUGGCGAAGGCGGCUCACUGGACGGGUACUGACGCUGAUGCGCGAAAGCGUGGGAGCAAACGGG